rnacentral:lncRNA from 1 species
UUCACCUCAAUAAAUCCAUCUUCUUUUCUAUCGUGGUCUUCAUUCUUGGCUCUCCCUCUACUUAAUUUCUUACAGUGUCUUUUUAUCAGUUUAAAAGCUAUUUGAUUCAAAGUAAAUUUUCAUUAACGAUUAAACAUGUUUUUUCUUAUGUGAAACCUAUGGAUUAUGUUUCUUCUUAUGCAGGAUUGAGAGGAAACUAUGAUUUACUAAACCG